rnacentral:rRNA from 1 species
AAUUAACGCUGGCGGCAUGCGUAACACAUGCAAGUCGUACGAGAAAGCCCGGUUCGCCGGGCGAGUAAAGUGGCGCACGGGUGAGUAACGCGUGGGUAAUCUACCCCGGUCUGGGGGAUAACGCACCGAAAGGUACGCUAAUACCGCAUGACCCGACGGGUCCCUGGACCCAUCGGCAAAGGUGGCCUCUGCAUGCAAGCUACCGAACCGGGAUGAGCCCGCGUCCUAUUAGCUUGUUGGUGGGGUAAUGGCCCACCAAGGCGACGAUGGGUAGCUGGUCUGAGAGGACGGCCAGCCACACUGGAACUGGUACACGGUCCAGACUCCUACGGGAGGCAGCAGUGAGGAAUAUUGCGCAAUGGGGGAAACCCUGACGCAGCGAUGCCGCGUGGGUGAAGAAGGCCUUCGGGUCGUAAAGCCCUGUCAGGCGGGAAGAAUAGCCCCGGGGCUAAUAUCUCCGGGGUGUGACGGUACCGCUGAAGGAAGCACCGGCUAACUCCGUGCCAGCAGCCGCGKWAAGACGGAGGGUGCGAGCGUUAUUCGGAAUUAUUGGGCGUAAAGGGCGUGCAGGCGGCCGGCCAAGUCUGAUGUGAAAGCCCGGGGCUWAMCCUCGGAAAGGGCGUKRGAAACUGGUUGGCUUGAGUUUCGGGAGAGGAAAGCGGAAUUUCGGGUGUAGAGGUGAAAUUCGUAGAUAUCCGGAGGRAACACCGGUGSSRAAGGCGGCUUUCUGGACCGAAACUGACGCUGAGACGCGAAAGCGUGGGGGAGCAAACAGGAUUAGAUACCCCUGGUAGUCCACGCUGUAAACGAUGGGCACUAGGGUGUGGGGGGGUUUUUAWYCCCUCCGUGCCGCAGCUAACGCAUUAAGUGCCCCGCCUGGGGGAGUACGGCCGCMARGUUAAAACUCAARGGAAUUGACGGGGGCCCGCACAAGCGGUGGAGCAUGUGGUUCAAUUCGACGCAACGCGAAGAACCUUACCUGGGCUUGACAUGUGGGGAAUCCCAUGGAAACAUGGGAGUGCGUAGCAAUACGAGCCUCAACACAGGUGCUGCAUGGCUGUCGUCAGCUCGUGUCGUGAGAUGUUGGGUUAAGUCCCGCAACGAGCGCAACCCUUGUCUCUAGUUGCCACCAUUCAGUUGGGCACUCUAGAGAGACUGCCGGUGAUAAACCGGAGGAAGGUGGGGACGACGUCAAGUCCUCAUGGCCUUUAUGCCCAGGGCUACACACGUGCUACAAUGGGCGGUACAAAGGGUUGCAAACCCGCGAGGGGGAGCCAAUCCCAAAAAGCCGUCCUCAGUUCGGAUUGGAGUCUGCAACUCGACUCCA